CAAAAAUGAUAAAUGCUGAAAUCUAGCCCCUAAAUCUAUUUUAUGUGCAUAAGAGAACCGAAAGAAAUUAUUGUUCUGUGAGGAAAAUUACAACUAAGCAAGAGAGAAAAUCCUAUCUUUGUGACAUUGCACUGAUAUCAGAGAUUUCAGUGCUAACUCAUAGAGACUGAUAGGUGGUGGGGGUGUGGAGGGAGAGAGGAAGGAUAUGUUUCAAGAUCCUCACCCACAUAUUUGAAUUAGGUAGCAUUAAAUCUUACAAAUGCAGUAUGUCUGGUCACAAAAAGAGUCUCAGGUGAAUAACCUUUCUAGACCCAGUUGGAUAGUAUCUGAAUCUUCAAAUUUUAAUUCAGUUCUUUCCUGCCAGGAUACAGCCAAGAAAAGAUGCCAGGGAGGUUAUCCUCUCACCGCAGCCAACCAUUCCACACCUCCAGUCCUCACGGUUUCACUGUGCCUAGCUGAUUCCAGUUCUCAGUCAUCUGGAUUUGAGGUUUCAAGGUCUGUACAUACGGCGGCGCAUUCCCAGCUGCUCCUGCUUUGCCUUCUGCCUCAUCUUUACUUUCUCUGCUUCUCACUGCCCUUGCACAUGCCACGGUGGACUGGAUCUGUGGUGCCUCCAAGCUAG
rnacentral:lncRNA from 1 species